rnacentral:lncRNA from 1 species
AUGCCUGCUGUUCUCAGAUUUCCAAGUCUCACCGACUGGACCUCUGGGUCUGCUGCUUAUUACUGCAAUUUUCUGUCUCAUGUACAUUCAAGCUGUGGAUUUUCAGAUACAAAAGGACCUCGAAAUAGGAAAAUUUCUAGAUGCAAACAAAUCGCAGAAGUAGCUCACGCGUCUGCUGGACAUUGUCCCGGUUGUGCUGCUGUGUGGUCACUGUACAGCGUGACAGUGCACAGCAGUACAGUGCUUGAUCGGACCCUGGCAUAUCCAGAAGGAAGACCAAAAGCAGUGGUGAUACGGACGGGACUGCUAGGAAGUGCGAAGCAAUAACCACGGAAACAAAAUUGAAAAUAAUCAAAAGACUGGACCGAGGUAAAAAGAUGAUAGAAGUCGCUCCACCACACCCGCCACUCUCCCUUCUACAGUUAGUUACUCUCUUCCUGUCGGUUCACUCCAGCAAUCCCCCAUGUGCCGGUUACUGUACUGUACUGCACCACCAUUUUAAGGUAGCCGUAAAAGUAAAAGUAGUUCAUUUACAAUAUUUGUAUCGGCUUUGUUUGGUUUGCUUAUGUUUAAUAUUGCAUACUUGUGUCAGAGGUGUGUAAGACUCACUUUGUCGGACUUACGGAUGAACCCGACUUCCGAACCGUCUCCUGGAACUCUCAGAACUUGUUCCUGAGUCGGGGACUUGCUGUAUUGGCAGCAGGACUCUUACCCUUGUGCUUCUCACAUUUGCCUCCGGGCACCUCACGCUUCUUCGGCUCCAUGAAGGAGCUGGUGAGACAGACGGAGUGAGGAGUGGAGAGGUUUCAUGAGGGCUAAAUCCUGUGGAGGACAGCGAAGAGAAACACGGCGGACAGGGAAAGCUGGGGCUGCUGUCUUCAUCCACCCAAGACAGGCUCCUCUCACAGCGUCCCCAUGCAGGGCAAACACUGCCAGGUCUUGGUUUGCCUGCUGUGCUGAGGUUGGGGCCUCGGAAGAUGAAUUCAACCAGGGCUUGACAAUCCAGGUGAAGCCUGACCUUUCGAACAAACAGUUGUAAACUUCCACAAAAUUAAUUUUAUUUCUUUUUUUUUAUUUAUCUACUUACUUAUGUUUUCAGCACUGAGGAUUGAACCCAGGGUCAUUUCAUGCUAGGCAAGUAAGUGCUCUACCACAGAGGUACAUCUCCAGCCACAUCCCUCCUUUGUGGUAUUAGAAGUCGAGUCUAAAGCCUUCUCACUGAACUCUCAGCCAUUUCUCCUUCCCUCCCUCCCUCUCCCCCCACUUCCUGCCUUCCUUCCUUCCUGCAACGCUAAGGGUUUAACCCAGGGCCUUCACACUGCACUUUAAACAAAACAAAAAAAAAAUUUUUUUUUUUUUUUUUUUUUUUUGAGGUGGGCUCUCUCUGAGUCUCUGAAUUGUCCAAGCUGGGUUCUAACUUGCAUUCUUCCUGCAGCCUCCCAGAGGGCUAAGAUGGCAGGAGUGCAUGCACCACCAUUUCUAGGCCCCCAGAGGCUUAAAAACUUUAAAUUUUGAGACAGUGCCUCCCUAAGUUGCCCAUAUUGGCUUCAAACUCAUAAUUCUCCUUUCUCAAUCUUUGAAUAGCUAGGAUUACAAGCAUGUGCUACUAUGACCAACAUUUUAUUUAUUUAACAAUUGCAC